rnacentral:rRNA from 1 species
AGAGUUUGAUCAUGGCUCAGAACGAACGCUGAUGGCGUGCCUUAUACAUGCAAGUCGAGCGAGAAGUUGGUGCUUGCACCAAUGGACAGCGGCGAACGGGUGAGUAACACGUGAAUAACCUGCCCUUCAGUUGGGGACAACAUUCCUAACGAGAUGCUAAUACCGAAUAUCGUAAUCAUUCGCAUGUUUGAUUACAAAAGGCUUCGGCCGUUGAAGGAUGGAUUCGCGUCUGAUUAGCUAGUUGGUGAGGUAAUGGCUCACCAAGGCAACGAUCAGUAGCCGNCCUGAGAGGGUGAUCGGCCACAUUGGGACUGAGAUACGGCCCAGACUCCUACGGGAGGCAGCAGUAGGGAAUAUUGCGCAAUGGAGGAAACUCUGACGCAGCAACGCCAUGUGUGGGAUGACGCAUUUCGGUGUGUAAACCACUGUCG